ACAAGCGGUGGAGCAUGUGGUUUAAUUCGAUGCAACGCGAAGAACCUUACCUGGUCUUGACAUCCCGAGAAUCUUCUGGAAACAGUUGAGUGCCUUCAACCGAAGGAGCUUGGAGACAGGUGCUGCAUGGCUGUCGUCAGCUCGUGUCGUGAGAUGUUGGGUUAAGUCCCGCAACGAGCGCAACCCUCGCCUUUAGUUGCCAGCAUUAAGUUGGGCACUCUAGAGGGACUGCCGGUGUCAAAACCGGAGGAAGGUGGGGAUGACGUCAAGUCCUCAUGGCCUUUAUGACCAGGGCUACACACGUACUACAAUGGCCGGCACAAAGGGCAGCAAGCCUGCGAAGGUAAGCUAAUCCCGAAAAACCGGUCUCAGUCCGGAUCGCAGUCUGCAACUCGACUGCGUGAAGUUGGAAUCGCUAGUAAUCGUGGAUCAGCAUGCCACGGUGAAUACGUUCCCGGGCCUU
rnacentral:rRNA from 1 species